rnacentral:rRNA from 1 species
GAUGAACGCUGGCGGCGUGCCUAAUACAUGCAAGUCGAGCGAAUGGAUUAAGAGCUUGCUCUUAUGAAGUUAGCGGCGGACGGGUGAGUAACACGUGGGUAACCUGCCCAUAAGACUGGGAUAACUCCGGGAAACCGGGGCUAAUACCGGAUAACAUUUUGAACCGCAUGGUUCGAAAGUGAAAGGCGGCUUCGGCUGUCACUUAUGGAUGGACCCGUGUCGCAUUAGGUAGUUGGUGAGGUAACGGCCCACCAAGGCAACGAUGCGUAGCCGACCUGAGAGGGUGAUCGGCCACACUGGGACUGAGACACGGCCCAGACUCCUACGGGAGGCAGCAGUAGGGAAUCUUCCGCAAUGGACGAAAGUCUGACGGAGCAACGCCGCGUGAGUGAUGAAGGCUUUCGGGUCGUAAAACUCUGUUGUUAGGGAAGAACAAGUGCUAGUUGAAUAAGCUGGCACCUUGACGGUACCUAACCAGAAAGCCACGGCUAACUACGUGCCAGCAGCCGCAGUAA